UGAUAAGUGACGGUACCAUCCGCGUUGAGAUUGCGGAACCACUAAUUUCUGGAUUGCAACCCAAAUACUUGAUUAAUCGUGUGUGGGUGAUGAAUUGAGUAAUCGCCAUUCCAGUACCCAAGUCCGAUUUAGAAGCCUUAUCAGCUACCGCCCGAAAGAUGGAGUGACUGAUAUACCUGUUGAAUUGUAUUUCCGGAACUUGUAGGAAUAUUCUAGAAACAGGUGGCUGUUUUAAAGGACGCUAGUAAUUUGAGCAUCUAAUAGCUAUAAAAAACCACUCACUUUACAUGAGCUUCUAAUCGAGACUGAGAAUGCCUAUAUUGACGAAGAUGAUACGCCUGUAGAAUUAGUGAUUUUUCCACCCGAAACUGCAAACAAGUACCAUACCGAUGAAGAUUCAGAUGAAGAGGACUUGGUAGAUAUAAAUAAUUUACCCGGAAGUCAACUUCGAGCACCUGUCCAAAAUCAUGAAUUCAAACAAAAGUUGUGAAAACUCCGAUUCAGACGACGAGGAUGUUCCUCUCCCAGUACUUUGUGGCAAUUUGUUUCAAAUGUUACGAAAGCCCAAAGGAAGAUUAUAACACCAGCCAAAUCUUUUUCAUGGACAAACAAUGCUGCUCUUAACAAUUUUCCUAAUUUUUUAAACCCAGUCGAACCUCCAAAUAAUAUUUCUCCUUUCAAUCUAUUUAAACUAUUUUUGGAUAAUGAUGUUUUACAUCUCUUGCAUCUCUAUACUAAUAAUUAUUGCAGCCAAAAUAACCGUCCUGCAGAUAUAAGCGUUGAUAAAAUACAGUGCUUCAUUGGUAUUUUGAUGAUAGUGGCUACGUUAGAGUAUCAAAACGAUUUAUGUAUUGGGAGACUACUAACGACUCUCAUAAUGAAUUAAUUGCUUCCGCAAUGUCUCGUGAUAGAUUUACAAAUAUAAUGAAAAACAUUCAUUGCUGUAAUAAUAAUGAUCUCAAUAAAAAUGAUACAUUUUCUAAAAUGAAGCCUCUCUUCAAUGCUUUAAAUCAGCGUUUUAUGUUAUUUUCUCCGAAUGAAGAAAAUUACUGUAUUGAUGAGGCUAUGGAUAUGGAUUGGAUGACGCCCAUAUAACUACUUGGUUUACAUAUAACUGCUUGGUUGGAUGACACCAACCAAGCAGUUUAUACGCGGAAAACCUAUUCAACCAGACUAGGUUAUGUAGCAUGGUUUGAACCAUAUCAGGGCUCAUUUAUUCAGCAGCCUGCUCAAUCCUAUAAAGUCUUGGGAUUAGGCCCUGGUGUAAUUUUACGAUUUGCUGAUACUCUAUAUACAUCAAAAGUAAACUUAAAUUUUCAUUUUUACUUUGAUAAUUUUUUUACGAGCCUUCCAUUAUUAGACAUACUCACUCAGAGAGGU